rnacentral:lncRNA from 1 species
AUGUAAUCAAUUUAUUUUAUAAAUAAAUAGAACAAAAAUCUUUAUUGAAACUAAUUUCAAAACCUUCCUAUGCUAGUACAGACACAGAAAUCAAAUUCUGACUAGCUACAUGAACAUAAUAACAGUCCUUUAAAUCUAAUCUAAAAUCAGAUGGUAAUCGUAAAGGAUAAGUGCCAACGACCUUUGCAAUAACUUUUGCUCCAUUAU